GGUCAAAAUUUUGUUGAAUUUGGAUGUUUUUGGUUGUGUGGACUGUGGAUGAAUUGAAUUUUUCGUGUGUUUAGUGUCUUUAUUGGUUCUUAAAUGUUAUUUCAAUGAAACUUGGUUACUUUCUAUUGGAAAAGUUAAGUUAGUGAAGAAAGUAUAUUUGAACUAAAAAUGAUCCGCUUGUUUUACCGAAUUUCCAAAUUUGGAAUCGUUUGGUUAAUUUUCUCUGUUAUUUUCUUCUUUCGUGCAGGGAUUGCGGGAAACAGGUCUAUU
rnacentral:misc_RNA from 1 species